GAAGCGGAGGUUGUAGUGAUCUGUGGCCACAAGCCAAGAAACGUGGGCAGCCUCUAGACGCUGGAAAAAAGCAAAGAAAUAUAUUCUCCUCCAGAGCCUCCCGAAGGAACCGGCUCCGCUAACACCUUGAUUUUAGCCAAUGGAAACGAAUUUUGGGCUUCUGACGUCCAGAAUGGUUAAGAUAAUGACCGUGCACUGCUCCAGAGUCACUGAGCGUGUGGUCAUUUGUUACAGCAGUGAGAGGAAACUGACACACCUAAUAAACAUUUUUAGAGGAAGAGAGACCCUUAAAGUCAGCUCAGGUCACGAUCUCAUGGUUCGUGAGUUCGAACCCCACGUCGGGCUCUGCGCUGUCAGUGUGGAAACUGCUUGGGAUUCUGUCUCUCCCUCUCUCUGCCCCUCCCUUUCUCUCUCAAUCUCUCUCUCUCUCUCUCAAAGUAAAAAAAUAAACUUUAAAAAAAUAAAUAAAAUUCUUACAAUAUGAGAA